CUGUAACAAAUACCCCCCAAAAAAGAGCUCAAAUUGGUAGAAAUUUUUUUCCAUUAUUCCCACAGGGCAUGUCUUUACAUUUGGUCAUACUGUGGGCGAGUGUGGUUUUCUGGAACUCGGUAGAACACAUUUUGGAAUUUUCCAAUCAGAAGGAUUGGAAGCAUGUCUUCAAGGCUACUCACCUCACUCAUUUGAGGAUCCACCUCCCAGAUGGUGACUGCCUGCCCCUCCAGACUGCACGUGUGCACAGGCAGCUGGGGUCUUGGGCGUGUUAUCCUAAAGGCAGGCCCUGUGAUUGCCAAAGCCCUACAGGAAAGGAAUGGGAUGGUGCUCAUGUACAAAGCCUCCAUUGAACUAAGGGGCCUGAAGUUGCAGAUGGCGGUUUCAGCUUGCAUUCCCAGGAGCGCCAACAGUGAAAAUGAAGAGUUUCUGAGAAACAUGGCCAUUGCUCCAUAGCAGGAGACCACACUGGGAAUGACCAUGGGCUUGAGCUGUGUGCGCGCCCAUGCAUGUGCGUGUUUGAAAAUGAAGUCAAUGUUGGGUGCCCAGUAUUUCUCUUCAAUUCUUAUCCCCUAAACAAGGCUGGAUAAGGGAUUGGUUUCGGCUUCAGUGAACAACAGGAAGAAGAAUUUGACUGUAAUAACUCAGGACCUGAUGGACAAAAGUCAUACGAGACUCAAAUGUAGACUCCAACGUCCUUGCUCAUCAGCUUCCCCAGUGCUCUGCUUUCAUCUGACAUUUUUCAAGUAAAAAGAAAUGUGUCCCUUCUUUGUUCA